CCUUGGAGCUUUCUGUUAUGUGAGAAUCUUCCCUCUUGUAGAGGCCACUUUGAGUCUUCUAUUUUAUUACUUGCAGUCCAAACUGGCAGAUUAUCUGAUAGGAUUGUUGAAGGGAUUUCAAUGAGAUAGGACAUAUAAAGUACCUCUAAUCAGUGCCUGGCACCAUAAACAGUAGCCAAUCUGGAAAUCAGGAAAUUAUCUCAGACUGAGAUAUAUGCCGUGAGACUAUUCCAGGGAGGGCAGACACUCCUGGCCUCACAAAUUAUUUCCCUCUUGCUCUCCUGCUAAGAAAAGCCUGUAGAGUUUUCCGAGAAAGCAGAAACCCAGUGGUGGCCCAGGACCACAGCCCUGCCGCUCCAACGGGGCUGACCCCAGCUUCCCAACAAGAAUCAAUCACGUUGCCUUUUGCCUAAUGGAUUUUGAUUUCCACGCCCCUGACGGUGAAGGCUAGGGCCUGUGCUUUGGCUUGCCUCCCGUUGCCGAACAUCCCAUCAAUUAUUAACAGCGUCAGCUCUGUCUUCCAGUACUGCUAUCAGAAGGAAAUAGUUGUCGCAACUCAGCCCACCUGGUCAUAGAGAAGGGACUGCGCUCAUUAUUUAUAGCAAAAAAGCCCCACCUACUCCUACGCGCACUGUGCUAAAUCUUGACAAACAUGGUUUCUUGAUGACCCUGCAAGGUGGGCCUUUUAGCUCCAAUUUAUAGGUGGAAGGCUAGGGUUUACGGAGGCGAAGAACGUACGUGAGGCCCGAAACUGGGGAGGUGAUGCGGCUGGGCCCAGACCCCUGGUCUGUCCUUGCUCUAAACACAUGAGUAAAAUAUUUGAUCAAUGGUGGUCAGGAUUUCUGCUGAGGAUCAAUGAGCCUGCCUGCCUCCCCAUCUCAGUUCUGCCUGAAGAAUAUCCUAGACUGUCCAUCUGCCAGGAAUGUGAGCUGACAGCCUGAGCCUGGGAUCACGGAGAGGUCAUGAAGCUCGUCCCUGCGAGCGGAUUAACCCGAGGGCAAGAUGAGGCUGUUUAUUGCCAGACGGCGUCUUUUGCAAGCCUGAGCUCCCCUAUCUUGCUGCCAGACUCCAACCCAAACACGGUCCUUUGCCUGCUUCUUCUGUGGGAGGGCGGCUCGACCCCUGUGGCCCCUCAGUCUCAUGUCUUAGGGACAGGACAGGGAGGGGGAAGAGUCAUGUUUGGACCUAAAUAGGGUGUGUGUAGGAAGAACCCAUGUCAGGCCUGGAAAUAGCAAAGUAAGUCUGCUGAUCCUAAGCCGGUUAAGGGUGAGUGACUGUCUUAAGAGGGAGGUUUUUUGGACACGAAACCUAGGGCAGGAUUAUGGUCAGAGGCAGCCCACAGAAGAAGAAACCAGGCCUAGAAAUCUCUACUUAGGGUUGCCAGGGAAGAGAGAAAACCUUCAGGCCUCCCUCCACGAUCCUACCAGCCACCUCCUCUUGCAUUCAUUCUCAGAGGCCUCUUUCUGGGCAGCCAGAUCUAGUAAAAGGACCCAGCCUUGCAGGUGGAUCUUCAGUAAUGGGCUACCUAAGCCAGGGGAAUCCCACAAGGAGAGGCCAGGCCGGGCAGGAGGCAACCUGAGCAAAUACAUGAUGCUGACACAUAUGCUUCCUCCUGGCUUUUUCUUUUUGCCACGAAUACAUUUACCUACCUGCUCACUCCACCCCCACCCUCCUCUUGGCCCCACUCUUCGAAAGUGAGUUAUGUCCAACAUAUCUUUCCCAAAGUGGUCUUCCUGGAUUUCAACAUCAACACUUCUCUUUUCUGGCUCCCCCCGGGCCUCCCACAACCUCUUUUAGAGUGCUGAGCACACUGUGUUGUCAUUCAUUCCCGACACCCUGCCUGUUGGCCACCUGAAGACAGGCCCCAUCUCUCCGAGGCAUUCCCAGAAGCCAGCUCAACACAAAGAAGCCGCUCAUCAACCAGUGACCCCCUUCCCUGGCCUGUCCCCCCACCCCAAGUCUUCCUCAGUCUGUUACAGCCUCUGCCUUUACCCAACAGCACACUGGUCCACUCAGUGUGACUGAAGCCUUUCUGUCUCCUGCUUCAUUUUCCACACUGCCUCAUUUUUCUCUCUCAUUUCAAAAUUUACAUCCUCUUCCGACAGCCCAAGCAUCUUUACAAGCUGCACCAAAUCAUUCUUGGAAUAAACUCACCAAACAAAUAAAGAAAGAACAAACCAGGGGUGACCCUUCGCCCACAAGCAUCCACAGCCAGCUGCAUUCGUCAUGCAUGCACACACCCACCCCUGAGACUCUUUGCCUCAUUUUCCUUACUUAUGUUAAAACUGCCUGACAGUAUUUCAGUGUCCUCCACGCAUGUCUGUAAGCUGCUUCCAUUCCUUCCUUGGGGCAAAGUGGGGUUAUGAAUACAGGGAUAAGUAUUAGAAUCGCAGGUGACCACCCCCCCUCCAGUCUGGGUCUAGGACUCCACAA